AACCCAAGAGAGGCAUUUAUAUUUAUUUCUUUUGCGUUCAUUUUCAAAUUCGCCGUGCAUAUAUUUUUGUGCAUGGCGCUUGAGAGGGCAUCACGUGACUAAAAACGACCAACCAACGACCUCGCUUCGGCCAUCUUGGCCACCUUGCUUUGCCGUGGGUGGAUCGUUGUUAUUUGUGCUUUUUAAGAAUAUUUUUUUAAUUCGGAUACUUUUAUAAUAGCUUUAAUAGUAUUAUUAACAUAGUGAAUAAAAUGGUGUCCUGUUUUUAACGCAGUUGGAUUAGCAGAAACAAAUAAUGUAGAUAAAAAAAUCUGCAGGAAUAACGUUUCAAUUAUGACAGAAGCUCCAAACAAAUGACUGUGAAUGAAAAGCCCUAUUAAAAGCUUUCCAGAAGAUCCUGCGAAGAAGACAUGAAGUAUAGAUCAGAUUUGUUAAUAGAGGAGUAUGUUCAAAACACUUUUUAGAAAAAGAUAUUGACAGAACUUCACUUUCAUCUGUUCGUUUAAGAGACUGUGCUGUUCCAAUAGCUUAUGUCACACAGAAUCAGCUGAGAGAAGUGGUCUACAAAAAACCAGAAAGGAAACGGAAUAUGUGGCUACGAAAAGCAAAAGAAAGGUUUACAAAGCAAAUGUGACACAUUUUUUUAUAAUAUUUAGGAAUGUCAGUAAAUUACAUUAAAAAAUGUAUGUAAAGAUUUUUUGCAAUAAAAAUGUUUAUAUUUA
rnacentral:lncRNA from 1 species